rnacentral:rRNA from 1 species
GACGAACGCUGGCGGCGUGCUUAACACAUGCAAGUCGAACGGAAAGGCCUGCUUUCCCUUGUGGAUUGCGGGUACUCGAGUGGCGAACGGGUGAGUAACACGUGAGUGAUCUGCCCCCAACUUGGGUAUAAGCCUGGGAAACUGGGUCUAAUUCCCGAUAGGACUGCAGGGUGGUGCCUGUGGUGGAAAACGAUUUUCUAGUGGUUGGGGAUGAGCUCGCGGCCUAUCAGCUUGUUGGUGGGGUAAUGGCCUACCAAGGCGGCGACGGGUAGCCGGCCUGAGAGGGUGGACGGCCACAUUGGGACUGAGAUACGGCCCAGACUCCUACGGGAGACAGCAGUGGGGAAUAUUGCACAAUGGGCGGAAGCCUGAUGCAGCGACGCCGCGUGGGGGAUGACGGCCUUCGGGUUGUAAACUCCUUUCGACCGCGAGGAAGCCACCUGGUUGGAAGGGUGGUGACGGUAGUGGUAGAAGAAGCACCGGCUAACUACGUG